AUGGACGUCCCCGGCAGCGGGCACCAGAUGGACAGCUACUUCUCCCGCCCCAAGAUCCGGUCCCGGUCCAUCCGCAUGGCGGCCGCCGGCGUUAUCAACCGGUCGGAGCGGCUCAAGAACUUCGGCCGCGUCUUCCAGGAGGACCUCAAGAACAUCUCGCUCAAGGUCUACGACCCGCAGGACCCGUUCCUGAUGCGCAUGAACCGCCUCUUCGUCUUCUCCUGCAUCAUCUCCGUCGCCGUGGACCCGAUGUUCUUCUACCUUCCUUCCGUCACCGAGACGGAGUACAACACCUGCAUCGGGUUCAACCGCGUCCUAGCAGCAGGCGCCACCGCCGUGCGCUCCGCCAUCGACUUCUUCUACCUGGCGCGGAUGAUGCUGCAGUUCCACACCGCCUUCAUCGCGCCGUCGUCGCGGGUCUUCGGCCGCGGGGAGCUCGUCAUCACCAAAAGGGACAUCGCGCAGCGCUACCUCCACCGCUUCUUCAUCGUCGACCUCCUCUCCGUGCUCCCGCUGCCGCAGAUCCAGAUGAUCAAGUUCUUCCUGCGGCCCAAGGGCGCGGACCUGCUCCCCAUCAAGACGGCGCUCUUCUUCAUCGUGCUCACCCAGUACCUGCCCCGUCUCGUCCGCUUCUACCCCAUCAUAUCCGAGCUGAAGCGCACCACCGGGGUGUUCGCCGAGACCGCCUUCGCCGGCGCCGCCUUCUACCUCCUCCUCUACAUGCUCGCCUCCCACAUGGUGGGCGCCUUCUGGUACCUCCUUGCCGUGGAGCGCGUCGACGACUGCUGGCGCGAGAAGUGCGCGGGGCUCAAGUUCGACCGCUGCGUAAAAUUCAUGUACUGCGGGGGCGCCGGGGCGACCAAGGACGGGGAAAACCAGUUCACCGAGUUCAUGGAGUGGCGGACCAUGAUCAGGCAGGUGCUCAAGCAGGAGUGCGCGCCCAUGGACAACAACGGCACGGGCUUCGACUACGGCAUCUACAGCAAUGCCAUCACGUCGGGGGUCACCCACACCCAGGACCUCAUCCCCAAGAUCCUCUUCUGCCUCUGGUGGGGCCUUCAGAACCUCAGCACCGGCGCCCAGGGGCUAGAGACCACACACUACAAGGGGGAGGCCCUCUUCGCCAUCCUCCUCGCCCUCUUCGGCCUCAUCCUCAUGGCGCUUCUCAUCGGCAACAUGCAGACGUACCUCCAGUCCAUGACGCUGCGGAUGGAGGAGAUGCGACUCAAGCGACGGGACACGGAGCAGUGGAUGCGCCACCGCCACCUCCCCGACGACCUCAUGGAGCGCGUGUGGCGACACAACCAGUACAAGUGGAUGGAGACGCGGGGCGUGGACGAGGACGGGCUCGUGAGCUGCCUCCCAAAGGACAUCCGGCGAGAUGUGAAGCGCCACCUCUGCCUCCGCCUCGUCCUCCGCGUGCCGCUCUUCGCCAACAUGGACGAGCGCCUCCUGGACGCCAUCUGCGAGCGGCUCAAGCCCAGCCUCUGCACGGAGUCCACCUACGUGGUGCGGGAAGGGGAACCCGUCGACGAGAUGUUCUUCAUCAUCAGGGGCCGCCUCGAGAGCUCCACCACCGACGGGGGCCGCAUAGGGUUCUUCAACAAGGAGCUCCUCAAGGAAGGGGACUUUUGCGGCGAGGAGCUGCUCACCUGGGCGCUGGACCCCAAGGCGGCGGCGAACCUGCCCUUGUCCACGCGUAGCGUCAAGGCGAUCUCGGAGGUGGAGGGCUUUGCGCUGCACGCCGACGAGCUCAAGUUCGUCGCCGGGCAGUUCCGGCGGUUGCACAGCAAGCAGCUGCAGCAGACGUUCAGGUUCUACUCACAGCAGUGGCGCACCUGGGCGUCGAGCUUCAUCCAGGCCACAUGGAGGAGAUACCAGAAGCGAAAGAGGCUGGAGCAGCGGAGGCGGGAGGUGGAACAGAUGUAUGGCAUGGCGUCCACGUCGUCGUCGGGCCAUUUCAAGACAACGUUCCUUGUGUCAAGGUUCGCCAAAAAAGCCAUGCGCAACGUGCUACGUAAGCGGUUGCUCCGGGAGGAGAGCCUCAUCUUGCUGCCCAAGCCGCCAGAGCCGGACUUUGGCAGAAUGCACUACUGA
rnacentral:rRNA from 1 species